rnacentral:miRNA from 1 species
UUGGUAUCUGGAUUGUAUAGC